rnacentral:lncRNA from 1 species
AUGAAAGCUUCUUUUUCACUUGACUUUUUUAAGUCAUGUCAAACUGAAAGAGAAAGUAAAUCAGUUCAGAAAUUGUCCAGUGGCCUUCUUACUCUCCAUCAAAAGAAUGAACAUUGCUGUGGAAAGAAAAACCAACUUCCAUUUGGUUUGAGAGAAAGACCCACAAGAUGUCUCUGCUUGAGGGACAAAAGAUGAAAAUGAAGCUAUACCGCAUAGCUUUGCCGUAAGGUACGGAUUUCUUUCAGCUAUAGUGUGGAGACUCCUCAGGAAGUAGGGAACCAUAUUUUUUUUUUUCUAUUUUGACUGCUGCUAAAAAUUCUUAAUACUUAUCACAUGCUAUGUUUCAAGCAAUGUGCUGAGUGAUUUGUACACAUUAUCUCCUGGGUCCUAAAAAACAGUCUGGGGGCACCUGGGUGGUCCAAUGGUUGAGCAUCUGCCUUUAGCUCAGGGCGUGAUCCUGGGGUCCUGGGAUAGGGUCCUGGGAUGGAGUCCCACAUGGGACUCCCCAUAGGGAGCCUGAUUCUUCCUCUGCCUAUGUCGCUGCCUCUCUCUGUGUCUCUCAUGAAUAAAUAAAUAAAAUCUUAAAAAAAAAAAAGCAGUCUGGAAGUAUGGGGCUCGGGGUGCCUCAGCUGGUUAGAUGUCUGCCAUAGGCUCAGGUCAUGAUCUUGGGGUUCUGGGAUCAAGGUCUGCUCAGCAGGGAGUCUGCUUGUCUCUCUCCCUCAGCCUCCCUCCCCACCUCACCAGCUUGUGCUCUCUCUCCCCCUCUCAAAUAAAUAAAUAAAUAAAUAAAUAAAUAAAUAAAUAAAUAAAUACAAACCUUAAUAAAAACCAGUCUGGAAGUAGAUGCAAUUAUAGUCCCUAUAUCUGGAAUCUGUGUGCUCGCUGUUACUAUAAGAAUUGAAAAAGUAUGAUAGUAUCUGAAUCAGAAAACAUAUUACAUUUAUUUUAACUUUAUUAUUAAAAAUUUUAACACACUACAAAGAAGAGAGAAUAUUCAAGUCCUACCAAUCAGUCAUCUCCCAUUUUACCAUAUUUCCUUCAUCUCUUUUCUCUUGACCCCAGACACCAUGACGUUUAGCCUCUAAAUGUCUCAGUAUACAUCUCUAAAAAUUAAAGAUAUUUUCUUACAUACUAUUAUCACUCUUAAAAUAAUCCACAAUUUUUUCAUUUCAUAUCUAGCUUAUUUUCAGAUUUCCCAGAUUGUCUCCAAUUUUACCAUUGAUUUUUUCAUAAUCAGUAAGUUAAUUAUUAAAUUAAGUUCCUCAUGUUAAUGAUGAAGGGCUAUAAGAAAACUUGCUUCUACAGACAAAGCAAAUGUGGGAGGGAUUUGGAAGCAGUGAAGUGGGAUCGAUACCUGCUUGCCCUGGGUUUACCCAGUCAUUCUGGGAACUCACCCUAAGUCACAAACACUACUCUCAGACUCCACCUGGAUCUGAGCUCAAAGUAAAAAUCACAGCACAAGGGUUAAGAGCAUAGACUCUAGAACCAGACUGUUCAAAUUCAUUAAUUAGCUGGGCAACCUUGGACAGAUUCAUUCAUCUCUCUGUAUUUUAGUGUCAUUACAUGUGUAAGAGGAAUAUGAAUAGUAUCUUCCUUAUAAGUUAUUAGAAGAACUAAAUGAAAUCAUAUGAGAAUUAAAUGACACUGAAUAGUGUCAGGUAAUUAAGUGCUCAAUAAUGUUAGUCAUUGUCUUCAUCGUUGUCAUCAUCUUUGUCAUCAUCAUAGCUACCCUUUUAGACACUACUUUAGGUUAAAAACUGAUCCUACAGUUGCUUAGGAUACAGAAGUGAUAGAAACUGAGAAUUAGGGAUCCCUGGAUGGCUCAGGGGUUUAGUGCCUGCCUUCGGCCCAGGGCGUGAUCCUGGAGUCCUGGGAUCGAGUCCCGCAUCAGGCUCCCUGCUUGGAGCCUGCUUCUCCCUCUGCUUAUGUCUCUGCCUGCUUCUCUCUUGAUGUCUCUCGUGAGUAAAUAAAUAAAAUCUUUAAAAAAAAAAAAAAAGAAACUGAGAAUUAGGAUAAUAGCUGGAUUUCAGUGACUUUAUACAAUUCUUUUUCCAAAUUCCUUUUUUAUAUUGUCACAUGAUCCUUUCCAUAAGAAGUUAUUUUAAAUCCCCAUGCUUAAAGCUGGUGAAAACAAACACCCAAGCAACCUACUGUGUUGAGCUAGUGUCCAGCCCCUUUGAGGCCCCCCCUCCAACCAAGCAUCCACCACUGGCCUCUGCAGAGGAGGAAACUUUUGGCUGAUUCUAAACCAA